rnacentral:rRNA from 1 species
AUUCCAGCUCCAAUAGCGUAUAUUAAAGUUGUUGCAGUUAAAAAGCUCGUAGUUGGAUUUCUGGUGCAUUCCACUGGCCUAUUGGUUAACUCCAACUUGGCUCAUUUGUAAUACGCCAUCUUUAGGCAGACCCGUCGUGGCAUUAGGUUGUCGUGAUGGUUACGCCUAUCGUUUACUGUGAAGAAAUUAGGGUGUUCAAAGCAGGCUUAUGCCACGUAUACGUUAGCAUGGAAUAAUGAGAUAGGAUUUCGGUACUAUUUUGUUGGUUUGUGUACGGAAAUAAUGAUUAACAGGAACAGUGUUGUGGGUAUUCGUAUUCAAUUGUCAGAGGUGAAAUUCUUGGAUUUAUGGAAGACGAACUACUGCGAAAGCAUUUACCAAGGAUGUUUUCAUCA